rnacentral:rRNA from 1 species
GACGAACGCUGGCGGCGUGCUUAACACAUGCAAGUCGAACGAUGAAGCCGGAGCUUGCUCCGGUGGAUUAGUGGCGAACGGGUGAGUAACACGUGAGCAAUCUGCCCUUGACUCUGGGAUAACUGCGGGAAACUGUAGCUAAUACCGGAUACGACACCUUGGGGCAUCCCAGGGUGUGGAAAGAAUUUCGGUCAAGGAUGAGCUCGCGGCCUAUCAGAUAGUUGGUGAGGUAAUGGCACACCAAGGCGACGACGGGUAGCCGGCCUGAGAGGGUGACCGGCCACACUGGAACUGAGACACGGUCCAGACUCCUACGGGAGGCAGCAGUGGGGAAUAUUGCACAAUGGGCGAAAGCCUGAUGCAGCAACGCCGCGUGAGGGAUGAAGGCCUUCGGGUUGUAAACCUCUUUUAGCAGGGAAGAAGCGAAAGUGACGGUACCUGCAGAAAAAGCACCGGCUAACUACGUGCCAGCAGCCGCAGUAA